UGAGGUCUCUGGGAAGAUAGAGCUGUGGUCUAGAAGAAGAUGAGACUGCUGGGUCUUCUCCUAUGUCUGGUGUCAGCCCCCGAAGGUGUCCUGUCCCAGGUGCAGCUGCGAGAGUGGGGCCCAGGACUGGUGAAGCACUCACAGACCCUCUCCGUCACCUGCGCAGACCAUGGAGUUUCCAUCACAACCAGUGGUUACUGCUGGAAUUGGAUUCGCCAGCCUCCGGGGAAGGGGCUGGAGUGGAUGGGGUGCAUAGAUUAUGAUGGGAACACUUACUACAGCCCCUCACUCAAGACCCGAACCUCCAUCUCCAGAGACACAUCCAAAAACCAGGUCUCCCUGCAACUAAGUUCUGUGACCAUGGAUGAUACAGCUGUGUAUUACUGUGUGAGAGACACAAGUGAUCUCACCGUAUCCACACGCACUGUGACCUCAUCCACUUUCUCACCCACUGUCCACACCCACUAUGUCCUCACCCACUGUGACCUCAAGCACUGUCUUCACCCACUGUGA